GGAAGGCAAAUUUGACUUUGUGUUUUGUCGCUCUGGGGUAAAACAGGAAGGAUAGGGUCCCCUGAGCCAGGAUCGGUGACAGCUGCGGAUCUUGCCUCUCUCCGCGCUCAGAAAUGCAGUGCUCUGUCGCCACCUGGUGGGAGGAGCAGAUAAUACGAGGGGUGGCCCCUUCGGAUGCGACCACUCACCCUACCACAGAGAGAAUGUUCCCAUUCCAACCCAGAGGAAGAGGCAUCAAUGGCCUGCAUGGUGUUGUGGAACCCACAGUGACUCUCCAUACAGACUGUCCCUGAGAAACUGUCCAGAGGAAAGAAUGAGAGAAAACUUUAUGGCCUUGGAGUAGGCAGCAAUUACAAAAACAACUAAUCAUAAAAAGAAAAAAAAAGACAGUAUUAAAAAAAUGAAAAGGUAAG
ensembl:lncRNA